CGAACGGGUGAGUAAUGCGUGACUAACCUGCCCCAUGCUCCAGAAUAGCUCUUGGAAACGGGUGGUAAUGCUGGAUGCUCCAACUUGACGCAUGUCUUGUUGGGAAAGUGUUUAGUGGCAUGGGAUGGGGUCGCGUCCUAUCAGCUUGUAGGCGGGGUAAUGGCCCACCUAGGCUUCGACGGGUAGCCGGCCUGAGAGGGCGGACGGCCACAUUGGGACUGAGAUACGGCCCAGACUCCUACGGGAGGCAGCAGGC
rnacentral:rRNA from 1 species